rnacentral:rRNA from 1 species
UACGAAGGGAGCUAGCGUUGUUCGGAAUUACUGGGCGUAAAGCGCACGUAGGCGGAUUUGUCAGUCAGGGGUGAAAUCCCGAGGCUCAACCUCGGAACUGCCUCCGAUACAGCAAGUCUUGAGGAUGAGAGAGGUUGGUGGAAUUCCUAGUGUAGAGGUGAAAUUCGUAGAUAUUAGGAAGAACACCGGUGGCGAAGGCGGCCAACUGGCUCAUAUCUGACGCUGAGGUGCGAAAGCGUGGGGAGCAAACAGG